rnacentral:lncRNA from 1 species
UCGAUUCGUGAUCGACAUUGAGAACUCCUUGAAGUGACACCAUCAAUUGUUGAAGUAGUUAACUUACAGUUUUUACGUGUCUUCAAUAAUGUAAUAGUGGAGUCCUAGUCAAUAGGAAGUGGCUUUUUUGUAGGAGUUAGUUUCUCCACAUGUUUGGUCGGUGGGGUAUGUCAGUGGGUCUUUGUUGUUGUUGUUGUUCUAUAGCUAUUUUCUUGCUAAGUGAUUUGGAUGUUUUGAUGAAUAAAGUAACAAGAGUUAUAGCAACAAUUCUCGUGUGUUUUCUUCUCUGA